GAUGAACGCUAGCGGCAGGCUUAACACAUGCAAGUCGAGGGGUAUGCCGAUUUAUCGGCAGAGACCGGCGCACGGGUGCGUAACGCGUAUGCAAUCUACCUUUUACAGAGGGAUAGCCCAGAGAAAUUUGGAUUAAUACCUCAUAGUAUAGUGACUCGGCAUCGAGAUACUAUUAAAGUCACAACGGUAAAAGAUGAGCAUGCGUCCCAUUAGCUAGUUGGUAAGGUAACGGCUUACCAAGGCUACGAUGGGUAGGGGUCCUGAGAGGGAGAUCCCCCACACUGGUACUGAGACACGGACCAGACUCCUACGGGAGGCAGCAGUGAGGAAUAUUGGACAAUGGGCGCAAGCCUGAUCCAGCCAUGCCGCGUGCAGGAUGACGGUCCUAUGGAUUGUAAACUGCUUUUGUACGAGAAGAAACACCCCUUCGUGAAGGGACUUGACGGUAUCGUAAGAAUAAGGAUCGGCUAACUCCGUGCCAGCCGCCGCUGUAAGAC
rnacentral:rRNA from 1 species